UGUGCGUUGCUUUCGUUUUGACUUAGAAAACCUUCGACAGGGAUAUCAAUUGUGGUCUUCGAUGGACUUCUCUUUUGAUUCAUAGUAAGCAUGUGGCUUUCCAAACUUCGAAACUUGUUGGCUGUUUUUGUAAACAUGUUUCUAGAAGUUUGUAAUUCAUUGUCACGCUUCGACAGAGCCUCUUUCAACAUCUUAGUGUCUAAUUCUGUUUCUUGCAAGCGUGCAUUCAAGAAUUCGUUCUCUUUCUGAAAUUGAUGAAUAUUUUCAAAACUGUAAUCUGGAACAGAGAGCAUAUAAGGACUAGAACAUUUUGCAGGAGAUCGCCUUACUCGACUUUCACCAUAAUCACGGCCUACAGAGUCCACUUCAGAUUUCAUUUGAGCCAAUGCAGCUGGGCCAGGUAAUUUUUUCCGAACCAGACCACGCAAUUUUUGGCACUCUGCUUCUAAUUUUGUUAUUUUCUUUACAUCUUCCAAGUGAUGCUUGUUUGCAACUUCCACAGAACGUUCACUCAUUCUCUUUUCUUCAUUUCGGAUUUCAAGCUCCUUUGAGACAAUAUUUACUUCGUACUUCAUUGAGUUUAAUUCCCUUUCAGUAAAAUCUAGGUCUUUCUUUAAAUCAUCUAUAUUAGCAUCAGCUUGAGCUUUCUCUUCACUGAUCUUCAUUAACAUUUCAGAGCGUUCUUCAAGAGAUCUGGAAAGAGCAUCAUUUUCAGCUGUAGCUCGAAAGAGAUCUUCUUCAAAUUCAUUUAUUUUUAUCUCAAAUUCAAGCUCUAC
rnacentral:lncRNA from 1 species